rnacentral:lncRNA from 1 species
UUGGUAUCUCCCACAGGAAGGCAGCAGAAAAUUUACAUAGAAAAUAAGAGUGAGUUCAAAAUUUUAAAGUUUAUUUUUUUUUAUUUUAAAGCAGUCAUUCAUCAUUGAUCUUCAUAGACAAAUAUGUCAUCUUGGCUCAGGAACCUAGAACUUUCUGUUUUAAUAAGUUCUGAAAAAACUGAAAUGAGUGCUAUACAUGCUUAAUGACCUUUUCUAUAAGAGAAUAAACUGACCAUAUUCACAAUAUACUGUCUGAGACCCCAUAGGGCCUAGAAAAUGGAUGAAUUAAUUCAUGUGCCUGGCAUAAUUAUACGUCAUAUUCGUCAACAUAAUUCCUAUGUGUACAUUAAGAAUAAUUGUGAUGAUUCUUUUUUCUGGAUAUUUUCUUUAUUUACAUUUCAAAUGUUAUCUCUUUCUCCAGUUUUCCCCACUGAAAAUCUCCUAUUCCAUCCCCCUGCUCCAUGUUUCUGCCCCAUGUUAUACGUUUUCAAUAUAUGUAAAUCCAUCAAAGUAAUCC